AUGCUCAAUGAAACGGCAUGUGUAGUAAAAUUGGAACAAUACAGAGGAGAUUAGCAUGGCCAUACACAGUGAUGAUAUGAAAAUUUAUGAAGCGUUCCAAAUUUUU